rnacentral:rRNA from 1 species
GAUGAACGCUAGCUACAGGCUUAACACAUUCAAGUCGCGGGGCAGCAUGGGGGUUGCUUGCAACCCCUGAUGGCGACCGGCGCACGGGUGAGUAACGCGUAUCCAACCUUCCCUUCACCACGGGAUAACCCGGCGAAAGUCGGACUAAUACCUUAUGUUGUCCAUUGACGGCAUCCGAUUUGGACGAAAUGCUUGGCGUAGAAAGUAUGGGGAUGCGUCCGAUUAGCUUGACGGCGGGGUAACGGCCCACCGUGGCUACGAUCGGUAGGGGUUCUGAGAGGAAGGUCCCCCACACUGGAACUGAGACACGGUCCAGACUCCUACGGGAGGCAGCAGUGAGGAAUAUUGGUCAAUGGGCGUAAGCCUGAACCAGCCAAGUAGCGUGCAGGAUGACGGCCCUAUGGGUUGUAAACUGCUUUUAUGCGGGGAUAAAGUGGCCCACGUGUGGGCUUUUGCAGGUACCGCAUGAAUAAGGACCGGCUAAUUCCGUG